GAUGAACGCUGGCGGCGUGCCUAAUACAUGCAAGUAGAACGCUGAAGGAGGAGCUUGCUCUUCUGGAUGAGUUGCGAACGGGUGAGUAACGCGUAGGUAACCUGCCUGGUAGCGGGGGAUAACUAUUGGAAACGAUAGCUAAUACCGCAUGACAACAGUUAUUGCAUGAUAACUGUUUAAAAGGGGCAACUGCUCCACUACCAGAUGGACCUGCGUUGUAUUAGCUAGUUGGUGAUGUAACGGCACAACAAGGCGACGAUUCAUAGCCGACCUGGGAGGGGGGUCGGCCACACUGGGACUGAGACACGGCCCAGACUCCUACGGGAGGCAGCAGUAGGGAAACUUCGGCAAUGGACGGAAGUCUGACCGGGCAACGCCGCGUGAGGGAAGAAGGGUUUCGGAUCGUAAAGCUCUGUUGUAAGAGAAGAACGAGUGUGAGAGUGGAAAGUUCACACUGUGACGGUAUCUUACCAGAAAGGGACGGCUAACUACGUG
rnacentral:rRNA from 1 species